rnacentral:rRNA from 1 species
UCACCUGCCGAAGCAACUAGCCCUGAAAAUGGAUGGCGCUCUAGCGUCGUGCCUAUACCGGGCCGUCAACGGCAAAGUGGGUUGGUGCUCGGUCGGUUAACGCUGGCCGGCCCGGCCGUUAAGCCUUGACGAGUAGGAGGCGCGCGUCGGUGUGCACAGAAGGGUCUGGGCGUAAGCCCGCCUGGAGCCGCCGUCGGUGCAGAUCUUGGUGGUAGUAGCAAAUACUCUAGCGAGGGCCUGGAGGGCUGAUGUGGAGAAGGGUUUCUUGUGAACAGCCGUUGCACAAGAGUCAGUCGACCCUAAGCCCUAGGAGAAAUCCGAUGUUGAUGGGAAGCAAUCACGUUUACACUGGCUGCUCCCGUCGGGCGAAAGGGAAUCCGGUUCCUAUUCCGGAACCCGGCUGCGGAACCGUAACUUCGCGGGCACUCGCCUGCGAGCGCUCGUCGGGGUAACCCAAAAUGACCCGGAGACGCCGACGGGAGGUCUGGAAAGAGUUGUCUUUUCUUUAUAAGCGUUCGAGUUCCCUGGAAUCCUAUAGCAGGGAGAUAGGGUUUGGAACGCGAAGAGCACCGCAGUUGCGGCGGUGUCCGGACCUUCCCCUCGGACCUUGAAAAUCCGGGUGAGGGCUACGCGGAAUGUCGCGCCGGAUCGUACCCAUAUCCGCAGCAGGUCUCCAA